rnacentral:rRNA from 1 species
AGUGAACGCUGGCGGUAGGCCUAACACAUGCAAGUCGAACGGCAGCACAGUAAGAGCUUGCUCUUACGGGUGGCGAGUGGCGGACGGGUGAGGAAUACAUCGGAAUCUACUUUUUCGUGGGGGAUAACGUAGGGAAACUUACGCUAAUACCGCAUACGACCUACGGGUGAAAGCAGGGGAUCUUCGGACCUUGCGCGAUUGAAUGAGCCGAUGUCGGAUUAGCUAGUUGGCGGGGUAAAGGCCCACCAAGGCGACGAUCCGUAGCUGGUCUGAGAGGAUGAUCAGCCACACUGGAAAUGAGACACGGUACAGACUCCUAGGGGAGGCAGCAGUGGGGAAUAUUGGACAAUGGGCGCAAGCCUGAUCCAGCCAUACAGCGUGGGUGAAGAAGGCCUUCGGGUGGAAAAGCCCUUUUGGUGGGAAAGAAAAGCAGCAGGUUAAUACCCCGCUGUUCUGACGGUACCCAAAGAAUAAGCACCGGCUAACUUCGU